rnacentral:lncRNA from 1 species
UUUUUUUUUUUUUUUUUGAGCAGAAUCAACAUGUAGUAAAAAAAAAAGAAAAAUAUCUCUCAUUUUAAAUGUGUUAAAAGCUGCCAUUAUAAGGAAUCCCACGUGUUGGGAGUGGUGCAUACUUUUUAGUAAAUUUAAUAGGUGUCCAUUCAUAAAGCGCAGCUUUAUUUUACUUCAGUGAAUCAGAGUGAUGGUUUAAGUAUUGCACAAGGGCACUUCAUGUGAUGCAUGCCACACUUUGGAUUCUGCAUGGGAGAGAUAAUCAUAAAACAAAGUAACUAAGUGCUCUGAAGCAGCAUGCUUUGGAAUAAAGCAAGUUAAUUUUCAGGUAGUUAAGAGGCUCUCUUUUCAAUAACAAUGGUGAACGCCAUUUCCCUUAGUUAAACCAAAUAAAAUGUCAGAUUCAAAAGAAGAAGAAUAGGCACAGAUAAGAAGCCUCUUCCCCCCAUUAAUCUAAACAUGGAUUACCAAGAUUCUUUUCUUUUUCUUGGGCUAGGAAGUGAAAUAUACUUCAAAUGUAUGAAGAUCAGUAAGGCAUAGAAUUCCCCUGUUGAACACUAUUCAAUGUGAAUAUCCUUAGGAAAGGUAAAUAAGACUUAGGCUUUUAUAUGUUAGUAUAAAUAAGCUUAAUAGUUUCUUUUCUGAGACAAGUUAAAGUUGAAUUUACUUUUAUGUUUGCAAGGUGUUUGCAACUUGACUCUGAAUAAGAAAACCAUGAUUAAAGCUUCAAUUUUGCUUCUGUCUUACUGAGAAAUUAGGGGAAAGUUAAUGAAGCUCUCUGAGAGGUAAUUUUUCCAUGUAUGGGUUGACCAGAGAAUGUUUAAAGACCCAUAUAACUCUAAUACUUCAAGUUAAAAGCUUCAGAAAAAUGUUAACAAUUCCUCAAAGUUUAAGUAUAAAUUAAUAAUUGCAGCUAAGAAUCUGUUCUUUCAUCCAGAAAAGAAUAAUUGAAAAAUAAAACAAAACAAAAAACUAUGAGUUGAUUUAGAGCAUAACCAUAGAAUAAUGCUUGCUAUAAGAUAGGCUCAUCAGAAAAUAUAUGAGAAACUUCGAUUUAAAGUCUUACUGAAAAGAUUGUGUUUAUUGUUUCCUAAGUGAGUGUCAUCUAAUGUAACCUCUUGUUAAGGAAGAUGCCUGGUAUGGAGACCCGAGAUAAUGGUGCACACCUCAAUUCUGAUCCUGAGUUCUUGAGAUACCAGUAAGAGGUUUAACUGACAGAUUGCUGAGACUACUGAAUCUAGUUAGUAUUUGGAGAAAUCCACUGUUUCUAGUAACAAGUAAUAUGCUUGUGUGAAAAAAAAAGGACAAACUAUUUUCAGUACUAACCACUUAUGCUCCUGAUAACUUAAUGGAAGUAAAGAAAGAAUUUUGUGUGAUUCCAUAUGGUACAAUAAGGACUUACUGUACUCAAAUAAUAAGAGGCAAGAUACUCAUAAAUGUGAUGACAUAUAACAUUGAAGGUCAAACCACAGUGAAUUCCAGGAAAAAAAAAAAAACAACAACAACUGAAUGGCUUCCUUCUAAGUGUUCCAGAGUGACUAAAGUACAGCUAAGUAUAUGAAGAUGUGAUAAAUUAAACAAUAACCUAGAGAAGCAUUUUUAUAAUAAAAGGUGAGCAAGGAGGAGGGAGUGUCCAGACAGUAGACACACCCAGGUCUAAGAUCAUAUAUAGCUUGUAGUACAGACUAUGACAUUCAAACUCAGAUAAUCUUUCCACUAUAACUCAACUGAACUCACAUCUUCUGUCAACAUGUCCUACAACUGCUGCUCUGGAAACUUCUCCUCCCGCUCCUUUGGCAGCUACCUGCGCUACCCAGCCACUUCCUGUGGCUUUUCCUAUCCCAGCAACCUGGUCUCCAGCACUGACCUCUGCUCUCCCAGCACCUGCCAGCUGGGUUCCUCUCUCUACAGGGGCCGUCAGGAGACCUGCUGGGAGCCCACCAG